AUCAAACGAAGAGGUCGCAACUAACAAAAGUACCUAGUGGAGUUUCUGCAAAAACGGUGAAGCUAGCGAAAGGGGCGGUUGCCGAAGCGUUAAUUAUUGCGGUAGUUAAUCGGCUGGGACGUAAUCUAAUAAAUUACGGACUGUCGCAAAUUUAAAUUUGCGGAGCGCUAUCGCCAAA
rfam:Lactobacillus apis strain Hma11 genomic scaffold Hma11_scaffold2, whole genome shotgun sequence.